GAUGAACGCUAGCUACAGGCUUAACACAUGCAAGUCGAGGGGCAGCAUGAAGUCAGCUUGCUGACUUUGAUGGCGACCGGCGCACGGGUGAGUAACGCGUAUCCAACCUUCCCCUUACUCAGGAAUAGCCCGUUGAAAGACGGAUUAAUGCCUGAUGUUCUCAUGUUGCCGCAUGGCGAUAUGAGCAAAGAUUCAUCGGUAAGGGAUGGGGAUGCGUAUGAUUAGCUUGUUGGCGGGGUAACGGCCCACCAAGGCAACGAUCAUUAGGGGUUCUGAGAGGAAGGUCCCCCANACUGGAACUGAGACACGGUCCAGACUCCUACGGGAGGCAGCAGUGAGGAAUAUUGGUCAAUGGAGGCAACUCUGAACCAGCCAAGUAGCGUGAGGGAUGACUGCCCUACGGGUUGUAAACCUCUUUUGUCGGGGAAUAAACUGCGCCACGUGUGGCGCCCUGCAUGUACCCGCAGAAUAAGCAUCGG
rnacentral:rRNA from 1 species